rnacentral:tRNA from 1 species
CAGAAGGUAGUUUAGUUGAAAAAUUCCAGCUUUGGGAGCUGGAGAUAAGGGUUCAACUCCUUUCUUUCUGA